UACAUGUGGGGCAAGCGUUGUCCGGAAUUACUGGGCAUAAAGGGUGCGUAGGCGGUUUGUUAAGUCACUGGUGAAAGUUUGCGGCCCAACCGUAAAAUUGCCUGUGAUACUGGCGAACUCGAGUGCGUGAGGGGUUGGGGGAACGAGCAGUGUAGCGGUGAAAUGCGUAGAUAUUGCUCGGAAGGCCGGAGCCGAAGGGGCCCAACUGGUACGCAACUGACGCUGAGGCACGAAAGCGUGGGGAGCAAACAGG
rnacentral:rRNA from 1 species